rnacentral:lncRNA from 1 species
GUCCUCGAAAUAGGGCCGCAGCCACCAUGGAGGAACCGGAGAUGCAGCUCAAGGGGAAGAAAGUAACAGACAAGUUCACUGAGAGUGUCUACGUCCUGGCCAACGAGCCAUCCGUGGCCCUGUACCGGCUGCAGGAGCACGUGCGCCGUUCUCUGCCCGAGCUGGCCCAGCAUAAGGCUGACAUGCAGCGGUGGGAGGAGCAAAGCCAGGGAGCCAUCUACACGGUGGAGUACGCCUGCAGCGCCGUGAAGAACCUUGUCGACAGCAGCGUCUACUUCCGCAGCGUGGAAGGCCUCCUCAAACAGGCCAUCAGCAUCCGAGACCACAUGAACGCCACAGCCCAGGGCCACAGCCCCGAGGAACCACCCCUGCCCUCUUCAGCCUGAUCCCGGAAGAGACUUGGAGGUGCUUUGGCCCCUCUGACUCAGGCCCCGGGCUCUACACACAGCCUCAUUUUACAGAAGAGGAAACUGAGGCUCAGAGAGGCGAGUGACCAGAAAUGCCAGGAUUCACAUCCAGACCCUCUAACGCCCAGUGCUUCACCUCUUCCCUCAGCCUCGCCCAGGAUUUUCCUCAGACGCCACCUCAUCAGGGCUACCCUGCAGCCCUAGGGGUCUCUCAGACCUCGCCUUGACUCACCUCUUGCCCCCCAGCCCGACCAAAGCUUGGACCCUUGGACACAGCCUUGUGGGACUUGGCAGGGACAGAAGACCAAGUAAGUGUGGCCGGCGCAUUCCUCUUGCUCUUGCCUGGAACCUGUGGGCCAGCCAUGAAUGUCCUGAGACGAGGCUUUGCUGCCUCUGGAUUCUUACCCGCCCCCACUGGCCCCAGGACACAGCCAUGGCCCCUCGGACCAGUAACUGCCAUCAUGACAAUCCUGAUCAUGCACCUGCUGUGUGCCCAGAUUUGUGCUGGGGGCUUCACAAGGGUCAUCUUUCAUCCUCAGACAGCCCUAUAAGGCAGAUGUCACCCAAAUGCAGAUGGGAAAAGAGAGGCUCCGAGAGGUGGCAUUAUUUGUGUGUGAUCACACAGAGAAGAGUAGACCCCGGCCUAGUUUGGUCCCAGCCCUGCCUCUGACAUGCUGUGUGACAUGGGUCUGGCACCGACCCUCCCUGGUGCUGCCUUUCUCCAUCUCAACAAGGAAGGCUGGACUGGACCUUCUCUACAGGCUGAGGCAGGCAGUCGUGUACCUGCCUGCCUGGACUGCAUUCUGCCUCGAGCAGAAAUGCCCACCUCAGGCUCAGACCAUAAGGAGAAGCCACCCUAACUCCAGGGGUGGAUGUGGGACCCUGGCCUGGCUAGUCAGAGCUCCCCAUCUCCCAGGUCACAGUGGUUGGUUUGAGACGGGCAUGCGAUCCAACGAGAGGUCUUCCCUGAGGAUUUUGCUGGAAAAGUACCAUCUUCCUUCUGGGGUUGGUGAGCUCGGCAGAUGGACCAGGGGACCUGAGAACAUUGCCUGGGGCCCUGGAUCCAGCUGUACCUGACACUAGAAAAUCUCAAUUCUUCAGUUUCAUGAGUCCCUAAAAUUACUGUAUUUGC